AACGAACGCUGGCGGCGUGCCUAAGACAUGCAAGUCGUGCGGAAAGGCUCCUUCGGGAGUACUCGAGCGGCGCACGGGUGAGUAACACGUGGGUAAUCUACCUGAGGGUCUGGGAUAACCCCGGGAAACUGGGGCUAAUACCGGGCGAGACCACAGUGUCCUCGGACACAGCGGUCAAAGAUGGCCUCUCCUUGGAAGCUAUCGCCCUCGGAUGAGCCCGCGUCCCAUUAGCUAGUUGGCGGGGUAACGGCCCACCAAGGCGACGAUGGGUAGCUGGUCUGAGAGGAUGAUCAGCCACACUGGAACUGAGACACGGUCCAGACUCCUACGGGAGGCAGCAGUCGGGAAUUUGGGCAAUGGGCGAAAGCCUGACCCAGCAACGCCGCGUGAGGGAUGAAGGCCUUCGGGUCGUAAACCUCUGUCGGGAGGGACGAAAGGCGCGCGGGUGAACAAUCCGCGUACUUGACGGUACCUCCUAAGGAAGCGCCGGCUAACUCCGUGCCAGCAGCCGCGGUAAUAC
rnacentral:rRNA from 1 species